rnacentral:rRNA from 1 species
UGGACGAAAGUCUGACGGAGCAACGCCGCGUGAACGAUGAAGGCUUUCGGGUCGUAAAGUUCUGUUGUCAGGGAAGAACAAGUACCGGAGUAACUGCCGGUACCUUGACGGUACCUGACCAGAAAGCCACGGCUAACUACGUGCCAGCAGCCGCGGUAAUACGUAGGUGGCAAGCGUUGUCCGGAAUUAUUGGGCGUAAAGCGCGCGCAGGCGGUUCCUUAAGUCUGAUGUGAAAGCCCCCGGCUCAACCGGGGAGGGUCAUUGGAAACUGGGGAACUUGAGUGCAGAAGAGGAGAGCGGAAUUCCACGUGUAGCGGUGAAAUGCGUAGAGAUGUGGAGGAACACCAGUGGCGAAGGCGGCUCUCUGGUCUGUAACUGACGCUGAGGCGCGAAAGCGUGGGGAGCGAACAGGAUUAGAUACCCUGGUAGUCCACGCCGUAAACGAUGAGUGCUAAGUGUUAGAGGGUUUCCGCCCUUUAGUGCUGCAGCAAACGCAUUAAGCACUCCGCCUGGGGAGUACGGCCGCAAGGCUGAAACUCAAAGGAAUUGACGGGGGCCCGCACAAGCGGUGGAGCAUGUGGUUUAAUUCGAAGCAACGCGAAGAACCUUACCAGGUCUUGACAUCCUCUGACAACCCUAGAGAUAGGGCGUUCCCCUUCGGGGGACAGAGUGACAGGUGGUGCAUGGUUGUCGUCAGCUCGUGUCGUGAGAUGUUGGGUUAAGUCCCGCAACGAGCGCAACCCUUGAUCUUAGUUGCCAGCAUUCAGUUGGGCACUCUAAGGUGACUGCCGGUGACAAACCGGAGGAAGGUGGGGAUGACGUCAAAUCAUCAUGCCCCUUAUGACCUGGGCUACACACGUGCUACAAUGGAUGGAACAAAGGGUCGCGAAGCCGCGAGGUCGAGCCAAUCCCAUAAAUCCAUUCUCAGUUCGGAUUGCAGGCUGCAACUCGCCUGCAUGAAGCCGGAAUC